rnacentral:misc_RNA from 1 species
GUUUAAUUUCACUAGCAUCAUUUGGAAGGUUAAUAGUGUAGCGUUCAAGGCCUGUCAAGCCAAGGGUAUCCGCAUCCUCGCCAGAUUUAAAACAGAGGGGGACGAUGCCCAUGCCAACAAGGUUGCUUCGGUGGAUCCUCUCAAAGCUCUUGGCAAUAACAGCUUUCACACCCUGGAGCAUUGGUCCCUUUGCAGCCCAAUCACGAGAACUCCCACUUCCAUACUCAGCCCCGGCCAAAAUGACAGUAUCAUGCCCUUCGCUUUUGUAUCUCAUGGCAGCAUCAAAUACAGAGAGUUUAUCUCCUGACGGAAUGUAGAUUGUUUUAGGACCAACUUCGCCCUUCAAGAGCUUGUUCACGAGGCGAAUGUUAGCAAAUGUGCCUCUUGCCAUCACCUCGUCGUUUCCACGACGACUUCCAUACGAGUUGAAGUCCUUCCUAUCAACACCCCGUUCCAUCAAGUACUUGGCAGCAGGGCUGUCUUUCU